rnacentral:rRNA from 1 species
GACGAACGCUGGCGGCGUGCUUAACACAUGCAAGUCGAACGGAAAGGCCCUGCUUUUGUGGGGUGCUCGAGUGGCGAACGGGUGAGUAACACGUGAGUAACCUGCCCUUGACUUUGGGAUAACUUCAGGAAACUGGGGCUAAUGCCGGAUAGGAGCUCCUGCUGCAUGGUGGGGGUUGGAAAGUUUCGGCGGUUGGGGAUGGACUCGCGGCUUAUCAGCUUGUUGGUGGGGUAGUGGCUUACCAAGGCUUUGACGGGUAGCCGGCCUGAGAGGGUGACCGGCCACAUUGGGACUGAGAUACGGCCCAGACUCCUACGGGAGGCAGCAGGGGGGAAUAUUGCACAAUGGGCGGAAGCCUGAUGCAGCAACGCCGCGUGCGGGAUGACGGCCUUCGGGUUGUAAACCGCUUUCGCCUGUGACGAAGCGUGAGUGACGGUAAUGGGUAAAGAAGCACCGGCUAACUACGUG